AUGACGCUGACCUCCGUCCUCAUCUGGACUCUGCUCUGCUGCUGCUUCACAGAGUCCAGAGGCCAGGUCACAGUGACUCAGCCUGGAGCAGUGAGCUCUGCUCUGGGAGGCUCCGUCGCCAUCAGAUGUAGGACCAGUCAGGAUGUUUAUGUCUAUAGCAACAACCCCCGUUUAGCCUGGUACCAACAGAGAGAUGGAGAAACUAUUAAACUACUUAUUUACUUUGCUACCACUCGAGCAUCAGGGAUUCCAGGUCGUUUUACAGGCAGUGGAUCAAACUCUGACUUCACUCUGACCAUCAGUGGAGUCCAGGCUGAAGAUGCAGGAGUUUACUACUGUCUGAGUUAUCACUAUCUCAACAGUAAGAAUCUGUUCACACAGAGAAGAAGUGUCGUUAAAACCUCCCUCAGUGUCUCCACAGCGCAGCAGGCGAUUGUCACGUUAAUGCUUUUGCUCUACGUGUCCCGAUCCCCAUCCUUUAGAAAAACCCAAAGUAGGUAG